rnacentral:ncRNA from 1 species
UACCUGGUUGAUUCUGCCAGUAGUCAUAUGCUUGUCUCAAAGAUUAAGCCAUGCAUGUCUAAGUAUAAGCAAUUUAUACCGUGAAACUGCGAAUGGCUCAUUAAAUCAGUUAUCGUUUAUUUGAUAGUACUUUACUACUUGGAUAACCGUGGUAAUUCUAGAGCUAAUACAUGCUAAAAGCCCCGACUUCGGAAGGGGUGUAUUUAUUAGAUAAAAAACCAAUGCCCUCCGGGGCUCCUCGGUGAUUCAUAAUAACUUAACGAAUCGCACGGCCUUGUGCCGGCGAUGGUUCAUUCAAAUUUUUGCCCUAUCAACUUUCGAUGGUAGUAUAUGGGACUACCAUGGUUUCAACGGGUAACGGGGAAUUAGGGUUCUAUUCCGGAGAGGGAGCCUGAGAAACGGCUACCACAUCCAAGGAAGGCAGCAGGCGCGCAAAUUACCCAAUCCCGACACGGGGAGGUAGUGACAAUAAAUACUGAUACAGGGCUCUUUUGGGUCUUGUAAUUGGAAUGAGUACAAUUUAAAUCCCUUAACGAGGAACAAUUGGAGGGCAAGUCUGGUGCCAGCAGCCGCGGUAAUUCCAGCUCCAAUAGCGUAUAUUAAAGUUGUUGCAGUUAAAAAGCUCGUAGUUGAACCUUGGGCCUGGCUGGCCGGUCCGCCUCACCGCGUGCACUGGUCCGGCCGGGUCUUUCCUCCUGGGGAGCCACAUGCCCUUCACUGGGUGUGUUGGGGAACCAGGACUUUUACUUUGAAAAAAUUAGAGUGUUCAAAGCAGGCCUAUGCUCGAAUACAUUAGCAUGGAAUAAUAGAAUAGGACGUGUGGUUCUAUUUUGUUGGUUUCUAGGACCGCCGUAAUGAUUAAUAGGGAUAGUCGGGGGCAUCAGUAUUCAAUUGUCAGAGGUGAAAUUCUUGGAUUUAUUGAAGACUAACUACUGCGAAAGCAUUUGCCAAGGAUGUUUUCAUUAAUCAGUGAACGAAAGUUAGGGGAUCGAAGACGAUCAGAUACCGUCGU